GUUAGGAAUAUUGGACAAUGGGCGAAAGCCUGAUCCAGCCAUGCCGCGUGAACGAUGAAGGCCUUCGGGUUGUAAAGCUCUUUAGUCCACGAAUAUAAUGACUGUAGUGGAAGAAUAAGCCCCGGCUAACUUCGUGCCAGCAGCCGCGGUAAUACGAAGGGGGCGAGCGUUAUUCGGAAUCACUGGGCGUAAAGCGUGCGUAGGCUGUUUUGUAAGUCAGAAGUGAAAGCCCAGGGCUUAACCCUGGAAUUGCUUUUGAAACUACAAGACUCGAAUUCGGGAGAGGAUAGCGGAAUUGUCAGUGUAGCAGUGAAAUGCGUAGAUAUUGACAGGAACACCAGUGGCGCAAGCGGCUAUCUGGACCGAUAUUGACGCUGAGGCACGAAAGCGUGGGGAGCAAACAGGAUUAGAUACCCUAGUAGUCC
rnacentral:rRNA from 1 species